AGUGAACGCUGGCGGUAGGCCUAACACAUGCAAGUCGAACGGCAGCACAGUAAGAGCUUGCUCUUACGGGUGGCGAGUGGCGGACGGGUGAGGAAUACAUCGGAAUCUACUUUUUCGUGGGGGAUAACGUAGGGAAACUUACGCUAAUACCGCAUACGACCUACGGGUGAAAGCAGGGGAUCUUCGGACCUUGCGCGAUUGAAUGAGCCGAUGUCGGAUUAGCUAGUUGGCGGGGUAAAGGCCCACCAAGGCGACGCUCCGUAGCUGGUCUGAGAGGAUGAUCAGCCACACUGGAACUGAGACACGGUCCAGACUCCUACGGGAGGCAGCAGUGGGGAAUUUUGGACAAUGGGCGCAAGCCUGAUCCAGCCAUACCGCGUGGGUGAAGAAGGCCCUCGGGUUGUAAAGCACUUUUGGUGGGAAAGAAAAGCAGCAGGUUAAUACCCCGCUGUUCUGACGGUACCCAAAGAAUAAGCACCGGCUAACUUCGUG
rnacentral:rRNA from 1 species